CUUUACUCGCACAGUUAUGUUUUAAAAGAUAAAGGGAAGAAAUAAAAUUAGAUCAAUACUUAUCAGAAGAAAUGAAAAAUAAAUGUUGCUUUAAAACUGAUGCAGAGACAAGUCAUCCAGCUCACAGCAGGCACAUGCAAGCAGCUUAACACAAACAGCGAAACCAUGCAUUAUGCAAAUCCCUACCAUUCUAGUUUGUUUUUUGGUGUUUGUUGUUGAUGUUUUUGUUUGUUUGUUUUAGACUGAAUCUGGCUAUGGAUCAGAGUCAAGUUUACGACAUCAUGGCUCCGUGGUGUCUCUUGUUUCUGGAGCAAGUGGAUACUCUGCAACAUCCACUUCUUCGUUCAAGAAGGGCCAUAGCUUACGUGAGAAGCUUGCUGAAAUGGAAACCUUUAGAGACAUCUUGUGUAGACAAGUCGAUACUUUGCAGAAAUACUUUGAUGCCUGUGCAGAUGCAGUUUCUAAAGAUGAACUCCAGAGAGAUAAAGUGGUGGAAGAUAAUGAAGAUGAUUUCCUUACGAUGCGCUCUGAUGGGGAUUUUUUACGUAACAGUAACAGCAGUAAGGAAAAAUGUAGGUGUGUCUAAACUUCUUCACUGAAAAUUCAUGUGUGAUAUAAAAUUCGUCUGAUAUAAGACU
rnacentral:lncRNA from 1 species